rnacentral:rRNA from 1 species
AAUAGAUACCCCCGGUAGUCCACGCCGUAAACGAUGAGUGCUAAGUGUUAGAGGGUUUCCGCCCUUUAGUGCUGCAGCUAACGCAUUGAGCACUCCGCCUGGGGAGUACGGUCGCAAGACUGAAACUCAAAGGAAUUGACGGGGGCCCGCACAAGCGGUGGAGCAUGUGGUUUAAUUCGAAGCAACGCGAAGAACCUUACCAGGUCUUGACAUCCCACUGACCGGUAUAGAGAUAUACCUUUCCCUUCGGGGACAGUGGUGACAGGUGGUGCAUGGUUGUCGUCAGCUCGUGUCGUGAGAUGUUGGGUUAAGUCCCGCAACGAGCGCAACCCUUGAUCUUAGUUGCCAGCAUUUAGUUGGGCACUCUAAGGUGACUGCCGGUGACAAACCGGAGGAAGGUGGGGAUGACGUCAAAUCAUCAUGCCCCUUAUGACCUGGGCUACACACGUGCUACAAUGGAUGGUACAAAGGGCUGCAAGACUGCGAAGUCAAGCCAAUCCCAUAAAACCCAUUCUCAGUUCGGAUUGC